rnacentral:rRNA from 1 species
UACGUAGGGGCUAGCGUUGUCCGGAUUUAUUGGGCGUAAAGAGCGUGUAGGCGGCCAGGUAGGUCUGCUGUGAAAACUCGAGGCUCAACCUCGAGACGUCGGCGGAAACCAUCUGGCUAGAGUCCGGAAGAGGAGAGUGGAAGUUCCUGGUGUGAGCGGUGAAAUGCGCAGAUAUCAGGAAGAACACCCGUGGCGAAGGCGGCUCUCUGGGACGGUACUGACGCUGAGACGCGAAAGCGUGGGGAGCGAACAGGG